rnacentral:rRNA from 1 species
UACGUAGGGGGCAAGCGUUGUCCGGAUUUACUGGGCGUAAAGAGCGCGUAGGCGGAGAUCUAAGCGUGGCCUGAAAGCCCCCGGCUCAACCGGGGAGUGCGGCUGCGAACUGGGUUUCUUGAGGACGAUAGAGGAGAGUGGAAUUCCUGGUGUAGCGGUGAAAUGCGCAGAUAUCAGGAAGAACACCCGUGGCGAAAGCGGCUCUCUGGGACGGUACUGACGCUGAGACGCGAAAGCGUGGGGAGCAAACAGG